rnacentral:rRNA from 1 species
CCUACGGGAGGCAGCAGUGAGGAAUAUUGGUCAAUGGACGAGAGUCUGAACCAGCCAAGUAGCGUGAAGGAUGACUGCCCUAUGGGUUGUAAACUUCUUUUAUAUGGGAAUAAACUGUUCCACGUGUGGGAUUUUGUAUGUACCCUAUGAAUAAGGAUCGGCUAACUCCGUGCCAGCAGCCGCGGUAAUACGGAGGGUCCGAGCGUUAUCCGGAUUUAUUGGGUUUAAAGGGAGCGUAGGUGGAUUGUUAAGUCAGUUGUGAAAGUUUGCGGCUCAACCGUAAAAUUGCAGUUGAAACUGGCAGUCUUGAGUACAGUAGAGGUGGGCGGAAUGCGUGGUGUAGCGGUGAAAUGCUUAGAUAUCACGAAGAACUCCGAUUGCGAAGGCAGUUCACUGGACUGCAACUGACACUGAGGCUCGAAAGUGUGGGUAUCAAACAGGAUUAGAUACCCUUGUAGUC